GGCAUGGUGGCGCAGUUGGUAGCACUGCAUUCUAGCAGCAAGAUGUUGGUGUGUUCAAUUCUGGCCUGGGCCC